GUCGACGGCAGCGCGGGGCAACCUGGCGGCGAGUGGCGAACGGGUGAGUAAUAUAUCGGAACGUACCCAAGAGUGGGGGAUAACGUAGCGAAAGUUACGCUAAUACCGCAUACGAUCUAAGGAUGAAAGCAGGGGAUCUUCGGACCUUGUGCUCCUGGAGCGGCCGAUAUCUGAUUAGCUAGUUGGUGAGGUAAAGGCUCACCAAGGCCACGAUCAGUAGCUGGUCUGAGAGGACGACCAGCCACACUGGAACUGAGACACGGUCCAGACUCCUACGGGAGGCAGCAGUGGGGAAUUUUGGACAAUGGGCGAAAGCCUGAUCCAGCAAUGCCGCGUGAGUGAAGAAGGCCUUCGGGUUGUAAAGCUCUUUUGUCAGGGAAGAAACGGUUUGGGCUAAUAUCCUGAGCUAAUGACGGUACCUGAAGAAUAAGCACCGGCUAACUACGUGCCAGCAGCCGCGGUAAUACGUAGGGUGCAAGCGUUAAUCGGAAUUACUGGGCGUAAAGCG
rnacentral:rRNA from 1 species